ensembl:lncRNA
CCGAACUGGCAGAUGAAGGCGAAGGCCUGGGCGCAGCGGUCUGUGGCUUCCCACUCGGCGGAGCAGCCUCUCCUGAUGUAGCCGCAUGCGUGGCCAGCGGGACCCGCCUGUCGUGGCUGCCAGUUGCUGAAGCUCACAUUGCAGGUACUGGGGAUCAAACUUGGGUCCUUGCACUUGCAGGGCAGGCAUUGGAAUCACUGAGCUAAAUUCCCGGCCCCUCCCUUCAUUCUUGACCAACUGCAUUUGUCGACUUUGCUCAGCAGAGAUCUCUGGGAUUGGAAUAUACUGGAACUCAUGUCUUUCCCAGGUCGCUUGGCCCCUUCAAAGUUGCUGAUGGGAGACAUCUAGGACAAUACCGACACCAGGUUUUCACUAGCUCCUCAUACUUCUGUUUCUGAGGAGGACAAGGUUGGUGUAUUCACAGGGCUUCUGACAGUUGGAAGAUGAGCCCUUGGACAGGGAAAGACUGGAACAUAGCUCACCCUCUGCCUGAGAUUCACACAGCCCUCCGUCAAUGCCAGUGGGACCCACCUGAAGCCUCCAACUUUCAGACCCAGGCCUGGGAGUGAGCAGCUCUAGGUGCCUUCCUGAUGGUUUCCUUCUCACCCUUGGGAACCAUGUCUCAGAAGCAGCUGGUAAGCUCAGUCCCUGGAAAGGUGAGCAGAAUCCUCUUGAUGCUAAAUAUCCAUGUGCAGGUGAGCCUAGGGUUGCUCAUGCACACUCACUGUGUUGUUUUUAUGGGGUGGCUGAUAAUGUGGACCUUGAG